rnacentral:rRNA from 1 species
GACGAACGCUGGCGGCGUGCUUAACACAUGCAAGUCGUACGGUAAGGCCCUUUUGGGGGUACACGCGUGGCGAACGGGUGAGUAACACGUGCGUAACUUGCCUACAACUUUGGGAUAACGCUCUGAAACUGGUGCUAAUACUGGAUAUGUGCUCCUGCUUCCUGGUGGGGGUUGGAAAGCUCCGGCGGUUGUGGAUGGACUCGCGGCCUAUCCGUUUGUUGGUGGGGUAGUGGCCUACCAAGGCGGGCAUGGGGAGCCGGCCUGGGAGGGUGACCGGCCACAAUGGGACUGGUGUACGGCCCAGACUCCUACGGGGGGGAACAGGGGGGAAUAUUGCACAAUGGGCGCAAGCCUGAUGCAGCAACGCCGCGUGCGGGAUGACGGCCUUCGGGUUGGAAACCGCUUUCAGCAGGGACGAAGCUUUGAGUGACGGUACCUGCAGAAGAAGCACCGGCUAACUACGUG